UACGUAGGGGGCAAGCGUUGUCCGGAUUUAUUGGGCGUAAAGAGCGUGUAGGCGGCCGUACAGGUCAGCUGUGAAAACUCGAGGCUCAACCUCGAGACGUCGGUUGAAACCGUACGGCUAGAGUCCGGAAGAGGAGAGUGGAAUUCCCGGUGUAGCGGUGAAAUGCGCAGAUAUCGGGAAGAACACCCGUGGCGAAGGCGGCUACUCUCGGGACGGUACUGACGCGUGAGACGCGAAAGCGUGGGGAGCGAACGAGG
rnacentral:rRNA from 1 species